rnacentral:rRNA from 1 species
GACGAACGCUGGCGGCGUGCUUAACACAUGCAAGUCGAACGGAAAGGCCCUGCUUUUGUGGGGUGCUCGAGUGGCGAACGGGUGAGUAACACGUGAGUAACCUGCCCUUGACUUUGGGAUAACUUCAGGAAACUGGGGCUAAUACCGGAUAGGAGCUCCUGCUGCAUGGUGGGGGUUGGAAAGUUUCGGCGGUUGGGGAUGGACUCGCGGCUUAUCAGCUUGUUGGUGGGGUAGUGGCUUACCAAGGCUUUGACGGGUAGCCGGCCUGAGAGGGUGGCCGGCCACGUUGGGACUGAGAUACGGCCCAGACUCCUACGGGAGGCAGCAGUGGGGAAUAUUGCACAAUGGGCGGAAGCCUGAUGCAGCAACGCCGCGUGCGGGAUGACGGCCUUCGGGUUGUAAACCGCUUUCGCCUGUGACGAAGCGUGAGUGACGGUAAUGGGUAAAGAAGCACCGGCUAACUACGUG